rnacentral:rRNA from 1 species
UACGAAGGUCCCAAGCGUUGUUCGGAAUCACUGGGCGUAAAGGGAGCGUAGGCGGCGCGGUAAGUCAGAUGUGAAAUCCCGGGGCUCAACCCCGGAACUGCAUCCGAUACUGCCGUGCUUGAGGGUUGGAGAGGUAGCUGGAAUUCUCGGUGUAGCAGUGAAAUUCGUAGAUAUCGGGAGGAACACCAGUGGCGAAGGCGGCGAUCUGGACGGAUAUUGACGCUGAUGUACGAAAGCGUGGGGAGCAAACAGG